rnacentral:rRNA from 1 species
GACGAACGCUGGCGGCGUGCCUAACACAUGCAAGUCGAGCGGAGGCGGAGGAAGGCCCAGCGAUGGGUUGGAGACUGCUUUAGCGGCGAACGGGUGAGUAACACGUGGGCAAUCUGCCCUCUGGAGCGGGAUAACAGACCGAAAGGCUUGCUAAUACCGCAUGAGGCCGUACCCUCGCAUGGGGGAACGGUCAAAGGGGAAACCCGCCGGAGGAGGAGCCCGCGUCCCAUUAGCUAGUUGGCGGUGUAACGGACCACCAAGGCGAUGAUGGGUAGCCGGCCUGAGAGGGUGAACGGCCACAUUGGGACUGAGACACGGCCCAGACUCCUACGGGUGGCAG